CCCUUAGAUGUCCUGGGCCGCACGCGCGCUACACUGACAUGUUCAACAAGCCUCCUAGUUCGACAGGAUUUGGGAAAUCUUUGAACGCAUGUCGUGAUAGGGAUAGAUCAUUGCAAUUAUUGAUCUUGAACGAGGAAUUCCUAGUAAACGCGAGUCAUCAGCUCGCAUUGAUUACGUCCCUGCCCUUUGUACACACCGCCCGUCGCACCUACCGAUUGAAUGGUCCGGUGAAAUCUUGGGAUUUUGUUUUGUUUGCAUUUAUUUGUAUCGAGACGAGAGAACUUGAGUAAACCUUACCAUUUAGAGGAAGGUGAAGUCGUAACA
rnacentral:rRNA from 1 species